ACGCUGUCUUCAGAGUUUGAUCCUGGCUCGGGACGAACGCUGGCGGCGUGCCUAACACAUGCAAGUCGAACGGGGUUAAUUGCUUCGGUGAUUAACUUAGUGGCGAACGGGUGAGUAACGCGUGAGGAACCUGCCUUUCAGUGGGGGACAACAGUUGGAAACGACUGCUAAUACCGCAUAACAUAUUCGGACCGCAUGAUCUGAAUAUCAAAGCUUUAUGUGCUGAAAGAUGGCCUCGCGUCUGAUUAGCUAGUUGGUGGGGUAACGGCCCACCAAGGCGACGAUCAGUAGCCGGUCUGAGAGGAUGAACGGCCACAUUGGGACUGAGAUACGGCCCAG
rnacentral:rRNA from 1 species